rnacentral:siRNA from 1 species
CGGCGAUACGCUCCUGGUC